rnacentral:rRNA from 1 species
CCUACGGGAGGCUGCAGUGGGGAAUAUUGGACAAUGGGGGCAACCCUGAUCCAGCCAUGCCGCGUGUGUGAAGAAGGCCAUCGGGUUGUAAAGAACUUUCAGUGAGGAAGAACGCCUGGUGGUUAAUACCCAUCAGGAAAGACAUCACUCACAGAAGAAGCACCGGCUAACUCCGUGCCAGCAGCCGCGGUAAUACGGAGGGUGCGAGCGUUAAUCGGAAUUACUGGGCGUAAAGCGCGCGUAGGUGGCUUGAUAAGCCGGUUGUGAAAGCCCCGGGCUCAACCUGGGAACGGCAUCCGGAACUGUCAAGCUAGAGUGCAGGAGAGGAAGGUGGAAUUCCCGGUUUAGCGGUGAAAUGCGUAGAGAUCGGGAGGAAUACCAGUGGCGAAGGCGGCCUUCUGGACUAACACUGACACUGAGGUGCGAAAGCGUGGGUAGCAAACAGGAUUAGAUACCCUAGUAGUC